UACGUAGGUGGCAAGCGUUGUCCGGAUUUACUGGGUGUAAAGGGCGUGCAGCCGGGAAGACAAGUCAGAUGUGAAAUUCCGGGGCUCAACCCCGGACCUGCAUUUGAAACUGUUGGUCUUGAGUAUCGGAGAGGCAGGCGGAAUUCCUAGUGUAGCGGUGAAAUGCGUAGAUAUUAGGAGGAACACCAGUGGCGAAGGCGGCCUGCUGGACGACAACUGACGGUGAGGCGCGAAAGCGUGGGGAGCAAACAGG
rnacentral:rRNA from 1 species